AGACAGGGCUGCCAGAGUCACUGGUCAGAGAUGCGGCCAAAAAUGCGUCUGGGAGUAAACAGGAUUUUAUUGGAAUAUCUGAAUUUUUAGCUGUGUGUGAUAGUAAUGUUAUGAAACGUGCUGAAAGUGAGCGUUGUGAUUGGCUCAGUUCAACGGUAGUCAACAUCCUAUCUAAAAGGGAUCAGCUGUCCCAUUUCCCCAAUUACAGCUCCUUCCCUCCAUUCCUCCUCCUCCUCUCCUCUCCUCGAUUCCUCCACCUUCUUCCGGGGUAGGAGAGGAGGAGUAGGAAAGGAGGAGUAGGAGAGGAGGAGUAGCAAAAGUUUCUGGACGCAGCCCGUGGCUGCGUCCGAAAUCGCGUACUUCCAUACUAAACAGUAUGCAAAAGCAGUAUGCGAGAUCGGGUAGUGUGUCCGAAUGCGCAGUAGGCGAGUUUGAGUACGCGAAAAGUUCCCGGAUGACGUACUGCACCGGGAGACAUUUUUAAGUAUACAAGCCCAGCACACUUCACCCGCUAAUAUUUCCCACAAUCCACCGGGAGCCGCGCUGAGCUGAGUGACCCGUCAGUGAGCGGCGGAGCGGCGGAGGAGAGGAGUGGAGAGAGAGAGAAGUUUAUGAGAUUCAACUAUCCUUCCUACUCGAGAGGAUGAAGAUGAAGAGAGGGAGAAAAAUGAACAAUGAAUAAAAAAAAUAAAUAAAGCUA